AGGACUUUAAGUUAACUAAACUAUUAGCCUUCAAAGUUGAAAUUAUUCUAAAGAUAAGUCUUA
rnacentral:tRNA from 1 species